CAGUAGCCGCGGUAAUACGUAGGUGGCAAGCGUUGUCCGGAAUUAUUGGGCGUAAAGGGCUCGCAGGCGGUUCCUUAAGUCUGAUGUGAAAGCCCCCGGCUCAACCGGGGAGGGUCAUUGGAAACUGGGAAACUUGAGUGCAGAAGAGGAGAGUGGAACUCCACGUGUAGCGGUGAAAUGCGUAGAGAUGUGGAGGAACACCAGUGGCGAAGGCGACUCUCUGGUCUGUAACUGACGCUGAGGAGCGAAAGCGUGGGGAGCGAACAGGAUUAGAUACCCCCGUAGUCCCUGUCUCUUAUAA
rnacentral:rRNA from 1 species